rnacentral:rRNA from 1 species
CAGGGCGAAGCCUGACGGAGCAAUGCCGCGUGGAGGAAGAAGGCCUAUGGGUUGUAAUCUCCUUUUCUCAGAGAAGAAGUUCUGACGGUAUCUGAGGAAUAAGCAUCGGCUAACUCCGUGCCAGCAGCCGCGGUAAUACGAUGCCCGCCGCGGUAAUACGA